UACAGAGGUCUCAAGCGUUGUUCGGAUUCAUUGGGCGUAAAGGGUGUGUAGGUGGCGCCGUAAGUCGGGUGUGAAAUUUCGGAGCUUAACUCCGAAACUGCAUUCGAUACUGCGGUGCUUGAGGACUGGAGAGGAGACUGGAAUUCAUGGUGUAGCAGUGAAAAUGCGUAGAGAUCAUGAGGAAGACCAGUGGCGAAGGCGGGUCUCUGGACAGUUCCUGAUACUGAGACACGAAGGCCAGGGGAGCAAACGGG
rnacentral:rRNA from 1 species